GAUGAACGCUGGCGGCGUGCCUAAUACAUGCAAGUCGAGCGAACAGAUAAGGAGCUUGCUCCUUUGACGUUAGCGGCGGACGGGUGAGUAACACGUGGGUAACCUACCUAUAAGACUGGGAUAACUUCGGGAAACCGGAGCUAAUACCGGAUAACAUUUGGAACCGCAUGGUUCUAAAGUGAAAGAUGGUUUUGCUAUCACUUAUAGAUGGACCCGCGCCGUAUUAGCUAGUUGGUAAGGUAACGGCUUACCAAGGCGACGAUACGUAGCCGACCUGAGAGGGUGAUCGGCCACACUGGAACUGAGACACGGUCCAGACUCCUACGGGAGGCAGCAGUAGGGAAUCUUCCGCAAUGGGCGAAAGCCUGACGGAGCAACGCCGCGUGAGUGAUGAAGGGUUUCGGCUCGUAAAACUCUGUUAUUAGGGAAGAACAAACGUGUAAGUAACUGUGCACGUCUUGACGGUGCCUAAUCAGAAAGCCACGGCUAACUACGUG
rnacentral:rRNA from 1 species